rnacentral:misc_RNA from 1 species
AUUGGUUUGGGAUAGGGGUAAUGUACCCCUCAUAAGGUUUUGGAUACUUCUCUCCCUUUGAGUUAACUUUUGAGAGUGAAUUAAACCUAGCCUCUUUUUUGAAGAUGGCAUCAGAGUCUCCCCAAUUAAUGUUUGGGCCUUCCAUAUGUUUCAUGCUCUAAGUUUUGAUCCUGAGCGUAAGGGGUUUUUUAAUAUCUCACAUUGAUUUGGGAUAAG